UACGUACUGGGCGAACGUUAUUCGGAAUCACUGGGCUUAAAGGGUGCGUAGGCGGCUACUUAAGUAGGGUGUGAAAUCCCCCGGCUUAACCGGGGAACUGCGCUCUAAACUGGGUGGCUUGAGUGCGAUAGGGGUGUGCGGAACUUCCAGUGGAGCGGUGAAAUGUGUUGAUAUUGGAAGGAACACCGGUGGCGAAAGCGGCACACUGGGUCGUAACUGACGCUGAGGCACGAAAGCCAGGGGAGAGAACGGG
rnacentral:rRNA from 1 species